rnacentral:rRNA from 1 species
UUGAAAGGGAAACGAUUGAAGUCAGUCGUACCGACGAGAAAUCAGCUUAUCGUGUGUUAACUUGUGGGCGUGCGUGAGUUUCGGCCUCGCUGUUUGCAUGUUUGUGCGCUUUGGGUGUACUUUUUCGUAUGGUUGGCCAACAUCAGUUUCGAUCACUAUAAAAUGACUGGCGGAAUGUAGCUUCGAUUUCGGUUGAAGUGUUAUAGCCUCUGGUAGACGUGGUGAUUGGGACUGAGGAUUGCAACGAAUAUCCUUUGGGCUAUCCGUCUGGCCUCUGAAAGUUGCUUGGGUGCUGAAAGCUUGCUUAUGGUUAUCUAAGUUAACGGUCAAUAGGUUAGAACGCGAUUACAUUCGUUAAGGAUGUUGACGUA